CGGGAAAAAAAAACAAAUUGUCAAACGCGAACGCGAUAAUACACUCACUGCGCACACGCGCACGCGGGCUGGAAUACGACGACGAUAUUCAAAAAUAAUAACAAAAAUAAACACCGCACAAUAACGUUUUAAGGUACUAUGACGUAUCGUUUUCGCAGUAGAACGCGCGGUGGGAGGCGCGAGAGAAAAACGCACACGGGUCGGAACGCGCACGAGAACACAACACAAAAAGAACGACCGGGCGACGGACGACGACUGCGGCGUGU